AGGUGAGCUCUUUGGGUGUUAAAUGCAAAGAUGGGAUGAAGAGACAUUGCAGGUGCAGCCCUCUGAUUACUCACUUGGGGGAAGUAGAUCAAGGCCUGACAGUGAUGGUUGAAGGCAGCUGAGUCCUGUCAUGGAAAAUGUGAAGGUCCUCCCCUUUUUCCUUUCCUUCCAGGAGCUUCUGCCUGUAAUAAUAAAGAAACCUGUGUUCA
rnacentral:lncRNA from 1 species